rnacentral:rRNA from 1 species
AGUAACACGUGGGUAACCUGCCUUGUAGAGGGGGAUAGCCUUCCGAAAGGAAGAUUAAUACCGCAUAACAUCUUUUUAUCGCAUGGUAGAAAGAUCAAAGGAGCAAUCCGCUACAAGAUGGACCCGCGGCGCAUUAGCUAGUUGGUGAGGUAACGGCUCACCAAGGCGACGAUGCGUAGCCGACCUGAGAGGGUGGUCGGCCACAUUGGAACUGAGACACGGUCCAG